AAAUUAAACAUGUCGGCAAGCUUUUAGGUUUUUGGGUUCAUAAACUUUGUUCUUGUUCUUGUUCCCGCUCCCUGCAUUUGCUAUUUCCCGCUCACUCCAUCCAAUCCCGACAACGAAGUCGACCAUAGCAAUCCGCGAAAUCGACAUCUGCUAGUUCAACUCCACCUCCUUCCUAUUUUUCUUCCUCUUUCUGCAUAUUCAAUCCGUCGCUCAGACCCUAAACUCUAAUACCCAGAAAUCAAUCAGAUCUGUCCGGCUCUUGCAUUGUGGCCUGCAUCUUGUCUUGUGCUUUUGAGUGGGAAAGUUUCUUUCUAAAAUAUGCUGUUAGAGAAUCAACUAGUGGUGAUCGCUUUUCUGAAGUUAUAGCUGAAUCUGCAGUAUUGAGUACUCUAAUACCCAGAAAUCAAUCAGAUCUGUCCGUCUCUUGCGUUGUGGCCUGCAUCUUGUCUUGUGCUUUUGAGUGGAAAAUCAACCAGUGGUGAUCGCUUUUCUGAAGUUAUAGGAGAGAGGAUAGGAGCAGGGUAUUUUGUAUGUUUUCGUUCUUCUAAAGUCUGCUAAAUUGGACUCCUACCAGCCCCCGGCGUCGACAAAUCUCCCGAUUCUAAGAUAUAUAAUCGAGGAAAGAGGAGAAUGAAUAGCAGGACCAGUCUAUCCCAGUGAGAAGAUGAAAUUCGGAGGAUUGUGUGUGUAUGUGUCUGACAUUGAUCAACAGUGCUGUUGCGUGGUGCGGGAAGCUGAAUGCCAUAGCUUGUGCCUCAGAAACUUGUGCAAGAAUUCCAAGAUGCGGUUCAUGAUGUGUCUCAGCAUAUGGAAGAGCUUUUUGGUCUCUAAUGCCUCCUGAUCAAGGUAGAAUAUAUGCCCCAGUUGAGCUUUCGUCUUCUUUGUCAUUUAGGUUCUUUGCAUUAUAAUCUCUUUGUGUUCGAUCUGUGGCAUUUGUCUUCCUCUUACCAUAAGCUCUAUCUACUGUGUUUUGAUUCCAGGUUCAAGAUGCAUCCAGUGGCCAUGUAAUUAGAAGGGAGUCCAUAGGAGAAGGAGUUCAUCCAGAUUCAACUAGUGAUCAAGAAAUUGAGCACGCUCCAGUACUCACCAAGCCCUCUAGUUAAUGAUAAAUAGUAUUGUGGUCAAGUCUGCUUUUGAACAAUAUUAAGUUUGGGAAUGUUUCUUCCAGAGUUUCAGUUAUCUAGUAUAGUAGAUUCUUAGUAGAUUCUUAUA